rnacentral:rRNA from 1 species
UACGGAGGGUGCAAGUGUUAUCCGGAUUCACUGGGUUUAAAGGGUGCGUAGGUGGGCAGGUAAGUCAGUGGUGAAAUCUCCGGGCUCAACCCGGAAACUGCCAUUGAUACUAUCAGUCUUGAAUAUCGUGGAGGUAAGCGGAAUAUGUCAUGUAGCGGUGAAAUGCUUAGAUAUGACAUAGAACACCAAUUGCGAAGGCAGCUUACUACCCGAAUAUUGACACUGAGGCACGAAAGCGUGGGGAUCAAACAGG